AUCUAGCUGACGUGUACCGGGUAGGACGAAACGCGCGUCCUGGAU
rnacentral:hammerhead_ribozyme from 1 species